UACGAAGGGGGCUAGCGUUGCUCGGAAUCACUGGGCGUAAAGGGUGCGUAGGCGGCUCGUUGCGUCGGCUGUGAAAACCCGCAGCUCAACUGUGGGCUUGCAGCUGAUACGGGCGGGCUGGGAUUCGGUAGGGGAGACUGGAAUUCCUGGUGUAGCGGUGAAAUGCGUAGAUAUCGGGAGGAACACCUGUGGCGAAAGCGGCGCACUGGACCACAUCUGACGCUGAGGCGCGAAAGCUAGGGGGAGCAAACAGG
rnacentral:rRNA from 1 species